AUCCAGCUGAUGAGUCCCAAAUAGGACGAAACGCGCAUUCUGGAU
rnacentral:hammerhead_ribozyme from 1 species